CAAAGAAGUUUGUUCUGGGUACAAGCUUUUGUGUGAAUGCACACUUCUUCAGAUACUUCAGAUACUUCAGGUAUCUGAAGAAGUGUGCAUGCACACGAAAGCUUAUACCCACAACAAACUUAGUUGA